rnacentral:rRNA from 1 species
CUUGGAGGAUGUAUAGCGAAAGCUAGUUGUAUUAAUUAUGUCUUUAGUUAAAUGCAGCAUCGACUAUGUCGAAUAAAGUUCUAGGUAGAGUUAUGAUAAUGACAUUUUCUACCUAUGUGUCUUGACCAAAUCACGUGCCAGCAGUCGCGGUAAUACGUGGAAGACUAGUGUUAUUCAUCUUUAAUAGGUUUAAAGGGUACUUAGACGGUAAAUUAAGCCCAGAUAGAAAUAAAGGGUACUAAUUAUACUAGAGUUUAAAUGAGAGGGGGGAGUGUAGUAGUGGUGUAGAGAUGAAAUUCUGUCAUACCAAGAUGACAGGCAACGGCGCAAGCAACCUUUUAUGUAUAGACUGACGUUGAAGGACGAAGGCUUUGUAUCACCAACAGGAUUAGGUACCCAAGCAGUCUUAGCAGACAAUUCUGAAUGCCAUAGAUAAGAAAGUUAUUUUGUCUAUAAAUGAAAGUGUAAGCAUUCCACCUCAAGAGUAAUGCGGCAACGCAUAAACUGAAAUCAUUAGACCGUUUCUGAAACCAGUAGUGAAGUAUGUUGUUUAAUUUGAUGGUCCGCACAAAACCUCACCACAAUUUGUAUAUUAUUAUCUUAAUACAGGAGUUGCACGGCUGUCUUCAGUUAAUGUCGUGAGAUUUUGGUUAGUUCCAUUAAAUUAACGUAAACCCUUACUUUAUUAUGUUAUAAAGUAGUUCGCCGCUAUAUUGGAUAUGAUAAAA